AUGCCUUACGAUGAGCGGUACACACCGUACAUCAAGCAGGCAGGACUACUCCCGUGGGUUCUGUUGGUCAGCCGGUCCACGCCGAAUCUGAACGCUCCACUGGUGUCCACUCUUGUUGAUCGAUGGAGGCCGGAGACGCACAGUUUCCAUCUUCGGACUGGGGAGAUGACCGUGGCACUCGAGGAUGUCUCGUUGAUCACCGGUCUUGCUAUCGACGGGAGGCCUCUCUGUAUGAGCACCGAUUCUGAUGGGUGGCGCGAGCAGAUGAUUGCUCUUAUCGGUAUGGCUCCUACCGAGGCUGAGGCUGAUGUAGAGGAGGGAGAAGAGAAGAAGAAGAGGCAAAGUAAAGCAGCCGGAGCUGCUUUCAUGUGGAUUCAAAAUAACUUUGCGACGUGCCCUCCGGUUGCCACUGAUGAUGUGAUCUAG
rnacentral:rRNA from 1 species